UGAGGAAUAUUGGUCAAUGGACGCAAGUCUGAACCAGCCAAGUAGCAUGCAGGAUGACGGCCCUAUGGGUUGUAAACUGCUUUUAUAUGGGGAUAAAGUGGGGAACGUGUUCCCUUUUGCAGGUACCAUAUGAAUAAGGACCGGCUAAUUCCGUGCCAGCAGCCGCGGUAAUACGGAAGGUUCGGGCGUUAUCCGGAUUUAUUGGGUUUAAAGGGAGCGUAGGCCGUUUGGUAAGCGUGUUGUGAAAUGUAGGAGCUCAACUUCUAGAUUGCAGCGCGAACUGUCAGACUUGAGUGCGCACAACGUAGGCGGAAUUCAUGGUGUAGCGGUGAAAUGCUUAGAUAUCAUGAAGAACUCCGAUUGCGAAGGCAGCUUACGGGAGCGCAACUGACGCUGAAGCUCGAAGGUGCGGGUAUCGAACAGG
rnacentral:rRNA from 1 species